rnacentral:rRNA from 1 species
GCACAAGCAGCGGAGCGUGUGGUUUAAUUCGAUGCUACACGAAGAGCCUUACCAGGGUUUGACAUGCAAGUGGUAGGAAACCGAAAGGUGACCGACCCUUCGGGGAGCUUGCACAGGUGCUGCAUGGCUGUCGUCAGCUCGUGUCGUGAGAUGUUCGGUUAAGUCCGCUAACGAGCGCAACCCUCGCUGUGUGUUAUAUGUGUCACACGGGACUGCCGGUCUUAAGCCGGAGGAAGGUGGGGAUGAUGUCAAGUCAGCAUGGCCUUUAUAUCCUGGGCUACACACACGCUACAAUGGCCAGCACAGUAGGUUGCUAAGCCGCGAGGUGGAGCCAAUCCAUAAAGCUGGUCUCAGUUCAGAUUGCAGGCUGCAACCCGCCUGCAUGAAGAUGGAGUUGCUAGUAACCGCAGGUCAGCUAUACUGCGGUGAAUACGUUCCCGGGGCUU